rfam:Neotoma lepida isolate 417 scaffold_3576, whole genome shotgun sequence.
GGGAAUGUAGCUCAGUUGGUAGAGUGCUUGCCUAGCACACAAGAAGCCUNGGGUUCAAUCCCCUGCACCA